GAUGAAGAACGUAGCGAAAUGCGAUAACUAAUGUGAAUUGCAGAAUUCAGUGAAUCAUCGAGUCUUUGAACGCACAUUGCGCCCCCUGGUAUUCCGGGGGGCAUGCCUGUCCGAGCGUCAUUGCUGCCCUCAAGCACGGCUUGUGUGUUGGGCUCCGUCCCCCCGGAGGCCGGCCCCGAAAUGCAGUGGCGGCUCUACCGCGAUCUCCUCUGUGUAGUAGCGAUACCUCGCAGCUGGAUAGUGGUGGUGCCACGCCGUAAAAUCCCAACUUUACCAAGGUUGACCUCGGAUCAGGUAGGAAUACCCGCUGAACUUAAGCAUAUCAAUAAGCGGAGGA
rnacentral:misc_RNA from 1 species